rnacentral:rRNA from 1 species
UACGUAGGGUGCAAGCGUUGUCCGGAAUUAUUGGGCGUAAAGAGCUCGUAGGCGGUUUGUCGCGUCUGCCGUGAAAGUCCGGGGCUCAACUCCGGAUCUGCGGUGGGUACGGGCAGACUAGAGUGGUGUAGGGGAGACUGGAAUUCCUGGUGUAGCGGUGAAAUGCGCAGAUAUCAGGAGGAACACCGAUGGCGAAGGCAGGUCUCUGGGCAUUUAACUGACGCUGAGGAGCGAAAGCAUGGGGAGCGAACAGG